AACCCAUGUUGGGGACAUUUCCAUAGGAGAUCCUUGAAUCUUUCCCAUGUCUCAAAAAGUGACUCCAAUUCCAUUUGCAUAAAGGAAGAUAUCUCAUUCUUAAGCUU